UACGUAGGUGGCAAGCGUUAUCCGGAUUUAUUGGGCGUAAAGAGAACGCAGGCGGUCUUUUAAGUCUGAUGUGAAAGCCUUCGGCUUAACCGGAGUAGUGCAUUGGAAACUGGGAGACUUGAGUGCAGAAGAGGAGAGUGGAACUUCAUGUGUAGCGGUGAAAUGCGUAGAUAUAUGGAAGAACACCAGUGGCGAAAGCGGCUCUCUGGUCUGUAACUGACGCUGAGGUUCGAAAGCGUGGGUAGCAAACAGG
rnacentral:rRNA from 1 species